GGCUCUAUAGUGUAGUGGUUAUCACAGCGGAUUCUGAGAUUGCGUAACUCUUCCGCUAACUCAGGUUCGAGUCCUGAUAGGGCCU